GAUGAACGCUGGCGGCGUGCCUAAUACAUGCAAGUCGAGCGAACGGACGAGAAGCUUGCUUCUCUGAUGUUAGCGGCGGACGGGUGAGUAACACGUGGAUAACCUACCUAUAAGACUGGGAUAACUUCGGGAAACCGGGGCUAAUGCCGGAUAAUAUUUUGAACCGCAUGGUUCAAAAGUGAAAGACGGUCUUGCUGUCACUUAUAGAUGGAUCCGCGCUGCAUUAGCUAGUUGGUAAGGUAACGGCUUACCAAGGCAACGAUGCAUAGCCGACCUGAGAGGGUGAUCGGCCACACUGGAACUGAGACACGGUCCAGACUCCUACGGGAGGCAGCAGUAGGGAAUCUUCCGCAAUGGGCGAAAGCCUGACGGAGCAACGCCGCGUGAGUGAUGAAGGUCUUCGGAUCGUAAAACUCUGUUAUUAGGGAAGAACAUAUGUGUAAGUAACUGUGCACAUCUUGACGGUACCUAAUCAGAAAGCCACGGCUAACUACGUG
rnacentral:rRNA from 1 species